CCCAGGAGAGUCACGGGCUCGUGU
rnacentral:piRNA from 1 species